ACCGGCGCGACGGGUGAAGUAACGCGUAUGCAACCUACCUAUACAGGAGGGAACUAACCCGGACGAAGUCGGACUAAUACCGCAUAAAACAGGGACACCGCAUGGUGAUAUUUGUUAAAGAAAUUCGCUGAUAGAUGGGCAUGCGUUCCAUUAGGUAGUUGGUGAGGUAACGGCUCACCAAGCCGACGAUGGAUAGGGGAACUGAGAGGUUGGUCCCCCACACUGGUACUGAGACACGGACCAGACUCCUACGGGAGGCAGCAGUGAGGAAUAUUGGUCAAUGGGCGAGAGCCUGAACCAGCCAAGUCGCGUGAAAGGAAGAAGGAUCUAUGGUUCGUAAACUUCUUUUGCAGGGGAAUAAAGUGCAGGACGUGUCCUGUUUUGUAUGUACCCUGAGAAUAAGGAUCGGCUAACUCCGUGCCAGCAGCGGC
rnacentral:rRNA from 1 species